UACAGAGGUCUCGAGCGUUGUUCGGAUUCAUUGGGCGUAAAGGGCGCGUAGGCGGCCUGUUAAGUCGAACGUGAAAUCCCCGGGCUCAACCCGGGAACUGCGUCCGAUACUGGCAGGCUUGAAUCCGGGAGAGGGAUGCGGAAUUCCAGGUGUAGCGGUGAAAUGCGUAGAUAUCUGGAGGAACACCGGUGGCGAAGGCGGCAUCCUGGACCGGCAUUGACGCUGAGGCGCGAAAGCCAGGGGAGCAAAGCGGG
rnacentral:rRNA from 1 species